UGGGGAAUUUUCCGCAAUGGGGGCAACCCUGACGGAGCAACGCCGCGUGCGGGAGGAAGGCCUUUGGGUUGUAAACCGCUUUUCUCAGGGAAGAAGCUCUGACGGUACCUGAGGAAUCAGCCUUGGCUAACUCCGUGCCAGCAGCCGCGGUAAUACGGAGGAUGCAAGCGUUAUCCGGAAUUAUUGGGCGUAAAGCGUCCGCAGGUGGCCUGUCAAGUCUGCUGUCAAAGACUAGAGCUCAACUCUGGAAAGGCAGUGGAAACUGGUAGGCUAGAGUACGGUAGGGGUUGAGGGAAUUCCCAGUGUAGCGGUGAAAUGCGUAGAUAUUGGGAAGAACACCAGUGGCGAAGGCGCUCAACUGGGCCGUAACUGACACUCAGGGACGAAAGCUAGGGUAGCGAACAGGAUUAGAUACCCCCGUAGUCC
rnacentral:rRNA from 1 species